rnacentral:rRNA from 1 species
GACGAACGCUGGCGGCAUGCCUAAUACAUGCAAGUCGAGCGAACAGAUGAAGUGCUUGCACUUCUGACGUUAGCGGCGAACGGGUGAGUAACACGUAAGGAAUCUACCUAUAAGCGGGGGAUAACAUUCGGAAACGGGUGCUAAUACCGCAUAAUAUCUUCCUCCGCAUGGAAGAAGAUUGAAAGACGGCUCUGCUGUCACUUAUAGAUGACCUUGCGGUGCAUUAGUUAGUUGGUGGGGUAACGGCCUACCAAGACGAUGAUGCAUAGCCGACCUGAGAGGGUGAUCGGCCACAUUGGGACUGAGACACGGCCCAAACUCCCACGGGAGGCAGCAGUAGGGAAUCUUCCGCAAUGGGCGAAAGCCUGACGGAGCAAUGCCGCGUGAGUGAAGAAGGCCUUCGGGUCGUAAAACUCUGUUAUAAGAGAAGAACAAAUUGUAGAGUAACUGCUACAGUCUUGACGGUAUCUUAUCAGAAAGCCACGGCUAACUACGUGCCAGCCGCCGCCGUAA